rnacentral:tRNA from 25 species
UGCGGGGUAGAGCAGUCUGGUAGCUCGUCGGGCUCAUAACCCGGAGGUCGUUGGUUCGAAUCCAGCCCCCGCUACCA